AAAUCCGUUGGUUUUAUAGAUCGGGAGG
rnacentral:tRNA from 1 species